rnacentral:rRNA from 1 species
UAAUACAGAGGGUGCAAGCGUUAAUCGGAAUUAUUGGGCGUAAAGGGCUUGUAGGCGGUAGGAUAAGUUAGAUGUGAAAACCCUGGGCUCAACCUGGGGCUGGCAUUUAAUACUGUUCUGCUAGAGUAUAGGAGAGGAGAAGGGAAUUUCUGGUGUAGCGGUGAAAUGCGUAGAUAUCAGAAGGAACAUCAGUGGCGAAGGCGCUUCUCUGGCCUAAUACUGACGCUGAGGAGCGAAGGCGUGGGGAUCAAACAGG